GGAUCAUAUGUCGGUCGUGCUUUCGGUACGUACUGGUAUCAUUGGUUUCUCCUUUCUGACGAACCAUGAUGUCAUUAAUUUGGUGUGAUUGGAAAUCAGGACUGUUACUUUGAAAAAAUUAGAGUGUUUAAAGCAGACUAUCGUCUGAAUACAUUAGCAUGGAAUAAUGAAAUAGGACGGACUGAUUCUAUUUCGUUGGUUUCUAGGAUCACCGUA
rnacentral:rRNA from 1 species